rnacentral:tRNA from 1 species
GGAUUGUGGCUCAGCGGUAGAGCACUCGCUUUGCAUGUGUGUGGCUCUGGGUUCCAUCCUUAGCACCA